rnacentral:tRNA from 2 species
UUGGGCGUCGUUGCAGCGAGCACCAAGGAGAAAAGCCUGUAUUUUCAUGCAGCUACGUUAGCUUUACAUGCAUGGGGUGCAAGGGGUCGAGUGUUCGAAUCACUCCGUCCCGACCA